UACAGAGGUCUCAAGCGUUGUUCGGAUUCAUUGGGCGUAAAGGGUGCGUAGGCGGCGCGGUAAGUCGGGUGUGAAAGCCCUUGGCUCAACUGAGGAAGUGCAUCUGAAACUGGCGAGCUAGAGUAUGUAAGAGGGUCGCGGAAUUCCCGGUGUAGCGGUGGAAUGCGCAGAUAUCAGGAGGAACACCAAUAGCGAAGGCAGCUCGCUGGGACGGUACUGACGCUAAGGCGCGAAAGCGUGGGGAGCGAACAGG
rnacentral:rRNA from 1 species